rnacentral:rRNA from 1 species
UGAAUACGAGACGCUAAGGCGUCGAAGUAGUGUAUGUCAUACUUCCAAGAAAAGCUUGCACUGUCAUAGAUAAAAAACGCCUGUACCAUAACCGACACAGGUGGGUAGGUAGAGUAUACUAAGGGGCGCGAGAUAACUCUCUCUAAGGAACUCGGCAAAAUAACUCCGUAACUUCGGGAGAAGGAGUGCCUUAUUCGUAAGGUUGCAAUAACAAGAUCCAAGCAACUGUUUAUCAAAAACACAGGUCUCCGCUAAGUCGUAAGACGAUGUAUGGGGGCUGACGCCUGCCCAGUGCCAGAAGGUUAAAGAAGUUGGUUAGCAAUUGCGAAGCUGAUAACUGAAGCCCUGGUGAACGGCGGCCGUAACCAUAACGGUCCUAAGGUAGCGAAAUUCCUUGUCGGGUAAGUUCCGACCCGCACGAAAGGCGUAAUGAUUUGGAUACUGUCUCGGAGAGGGGCUCGGUGAAAUAGACUUGUCUGUGAAGAUGCGGACUACCUGCACCAGGACAGAAAGACCCUAUGAAGCUUUACUGUAACUUGAAAUUGAAAUUGGACUUUAUUCGCGCAGUAUAGGUGGGAGGCGUUGAUUAUAAUCUUGUGGGAUUAUUGGAGCCAUCAGUGAGAUACCACUCUUGUAAUGUUAGAUUUCUAACUUUGAAUCAUUAUCUGGUCAAAGAACAGUUUCAGGCGGGCAGUUUGACUGGGGCGGUCGCCUCCUAAACGGUAACGGAGGCGUACAAAGGUUUCCUCUGAACGGUUAGAAAUCGUAUCUAGAGUGUAAAGGCAUAAGGAAGCUUGACUGUGAGACCUACAAGUCGAGCAGGGACGAAAGUCGGUCUUAGUGAUCUGACGGUACUGAGUGGAAAGGCCGUCACUCAACGGAUAAAAGUUACUCUAAGGAUAACAGGCUGAUCUCCCCCAAGAGUUCACAUCGACGGGGAGGUUUGGCACCUCGAUGUCGGCUCAUCGCAUCCUGGGGCGGUAGUACGUCCCAAGGGUUGGGCUGUUCGCCCAUGAAAGCGGUACGCGAGCUGGGUUCAGAACGUCGUGAGACAGUUCGGUCCAUAUCCGGUGUAGGCGUUAGAAUAUUGAGAGGAGCCUUCUUUAGUACGAGAGGACCGAGAAGGACAUACCUCUGGUGUACCAGUUAUCGUGCCAACGGUAAACGCUGGGUAGCUAUGUAUGGAGUGGAUAACCGCUGAAAGCAUCUAAGUGGGAAGCCCACCUCAAGAUAAGUA